rnacentral:rRNA from 1 species
GAAGGCGAGCACUCUAGACGAACUGCCGUUGACAAAACGGAGGAAGGUGGGGAUGACGUCAAAUCAUCAUGCCCCUUAUGUUCUGGGCUACACACGUGCUACAAUGGCCGGUACAGACGGACGCAAAGCCGCGAGGUGGAGCAAAUCCUAAAAGCCGGUCUCAGUUCGGAUUGCAGGCUGCAAUUCGCCUGCAUGAAGUCGGAAUCGCUAGUAAUCGCAGGUCAGCAUACUGCGGUGAAUACGUUCCCGGGCCUU